rnacentral:misc_RNA from 1 species
GAUGAAGAACGUAGUGAAAUGUGAUAAGUAAUGUGAAUUGCAGAAUUCAGUGAAUCAUCGAAUCUUUGAACGCACCUUGCGCUCCUUGGUAUUCCGAGGAGCAUGCCUGUUUGAGUGUCAUGAAAUUCUCAACCUUUUCAGCUUUCUUUGUUGAUCAGGCUUGGAUGUGGGAGUAUGCGGGCUUCUCAGAAGUCGGCUCUCCUGAAAUGCAUUAGCGGGACCUUUGUUGCCUGGCUUUGGUGUGAUAAUUAUCUACGCCAUUGUAGUCAAGCAGCUUAAAAUGAGGUUUCAGCUUCUAACCGUCUCCCCUGAGACAACUUUUUGACAAUUUGACCUCAAAUCAGGUAGGACUACCCGCUGAACUUAAGCAUAUCAAUAAGCGGAGGA